GGGGAACGAAACAUUUUUUAUAAAGGUGUGGAAACCUCUCCCUAGCAAUGUUUUAAAAACCUUGAGGCUAUUCUGGCUUCAAGUGGCUCAAAUUUAGAAUGAGAAUACUUCGAAGAACAGAGAGGCUGGAAUUUCAUAUACUCUUAACACACCAGAGAAGGAUAUGCUUCAAAAUUUUGAAUUGGCUUGAUGCUUCACUUUUGUAAGAUCCUGAAUCACAUGAUUGCUCCUGUUGGUGCAUGUAUUGAGAAAAGCUGACUAUUCUCACGAGGCAACCACCCGACCCUAUUACUUUUAGUUGGUAGAUAACUUGUAAGAUAUUAAAUUCUUUAUAGGCGGCUGCCAUGACAAACUUAUUCUCACUAAGCCCGCUACCCAUCCUAGGGUGGCUACCUUAUAAUAAGACCAUUCCUAGUA